rnacentral:lncRNA from 1 species
GUGAAGGGGCGGCUGAGCCCCCCCGGGAGUUACGCUGUAGCGACUGCAUCGUGUGGAACCGGCAGCAGACGUGGCUGUGCGUGGUGCCUCUGUUCAUCGGCUUCAUCGGUCUGGGGCUCAGCCUUAUGCUGCUCAAAUGGAUCGUGGUGGGCUCCGUCAAGGAGUACGUGCCCACCGACCUGGUGGACUCCAAGGGGAUGGGCCAGGACCCUUUCUUCCUCUCCAAGCCCAUCCUGCCACUCCCUCAGCCGGCGGCAGUGGCGCCGCCGCCUCCUCCAGGACGCCCAACCGGAUUAGCACGCGCCUGACCACCAUUACGCGGGCGCCCACUCGCUUCCCGGGCCACCGGGUGCCUAUCCGGGCCAGCCCGCGCUCCACCACGGCCCGGAACACUGGGGCGCCCCCGACGGUCCAGUCCACCACCACGGCCCCCUUCUUCAGUAGCAGCACUCUGGGCUCGCGACCCCCAGCGCCAGGAAGCCCCAGUACCCAGGCGAUGCCCUCCUGGCCCACUGCGGCAUAUGCUACCUCCUCCUACCUUCACGAUUCUACUCCCUCCUGGACUCUGUCUCCCUUUCAGGAUGCUGCCGCCUCCUUUUCCUCCUCCUCCACCGCCACACCAGAAACUAGCACCAGCCCCAAAUUUCUGACCCACAGAGAGGACUCAGUCUAUCUAUGGCACUGAAAGGACCAAACCUGGCUUCAGGGACGUCCUUCAAACGACAUUCUCCACGGGACAGACCCACCCUGCCCACAACUGUGCUCCCACCUACCCGACUGCAGUCCUCUACGGCAAUACGGACACAUGAGCGACAAAGCCCUGACUCACCCUGAAUGUGAAAAGCCUGCAUGUGUCGGAAAUAGUUCUUUAUGAUCAUGCUCUAAAAGAUGUUAAAUACAAUCUGAUAUUU